rnacentral:rRNA from 1 species
UCUACGGGAGGCAGCAGUGAGGAAUAUUGGUCAUGUGCCGGAAGGCUGAACCAGCCAUGCCGCGUGAAGGUCAGUGCCCUAUGGGCGUUAAACUUCUUUUGUGCGGGAGCAAUAAUGGUCACGUGUGGCCAGACGAGAGUACCGUACGAAUAAGCAUCGGCUAACUCCGUGCCAGCAGCGGCGGUAAUACGGGGGAUGCAAGCGUUAUCCGGAUUUAUUGGGGUUAAAGGGUGCGUAGGCUGUGAGGUAAGUCAGCGGUGAAAUGCCCCCGCUCAACGGGGUGAAGUGCCAUUGAUACUGGCUUGCUGGAAUGCGGAUGCCGUGGGAGGAAUGUGUGGUGUAGCGGUGAAAUGCAUAGAUAUCACACAGAACACCGAUUGCGACGGCAUCUCACGAAUCCGCGAUUGACGCUGAUGCACGAAAGCGUGGGUAUCAAACAGGAUUAGAUACCCGGGUAGUC